rnacentral:lncRNA from 10 species
GGGCCCCCGGAGAAAGGACUCCUGCCAGCCGCCUCUUCUCCACCUGGGGUGGAGCGUCUGUGGCGUGGCCUUGGUCCGCCGAGACUGUGGACGGUCUGGCUAUGCUGUCCCCUGCUGAACCUCUUCCUGGGAGGGGCCUCAGGGGUUCUUGCUCACUCCCAGGACCUGUUCACGCGUGUCCACAAUUUGGUCCCCCUUGUGCCUGAAAACCUUCCAGGAGGACGCUCGCCUUCCACUGUCCACAGCCCCCAGGUGGGAAGGCCUUUUGGGGGCGGUCAGGCCACCUGCAGGAACAGAGUUCGAACCUUGUUCUAGAACGCGUCAUGGAAGUCAGCCUCCCUCCCCACCCUGGUUUCAGAUGUAGAAACUGAAACCCAGCUUGGGGACCGCCUUCCUGAGGACACAACGCUGGGUAAGGCUGGGCUUGGCCCUGCUGGGGAAAAGGGGUCAGGGUGGGAUCUGGGGAGCAGGAAGCUGUCCACUGUAGGAAGAGGGGAGGGGAAGACCCAGAGAAAGCCCCGGCUCCUGGCCGCUCCCCAGCCCAGCCCAGCCUCAGCCCCAGGCGGGUCCAAGGUAAGUCAAGGGCUCCGAAGUAAGCUUCCAACGGGAAGGGGUGAGAGCCGAGGGCUGUCUUCACAGCUGGAGGGGUCUGAGUCCCAAGCCAGGGAAAGAACUCUGGGUCAGCUGACCCUGGUGGGUGUGGAGCAGGCCCCGGAGGACACUACCAGCAGGCCGCCGGGCAGCUGGGAGUGUUCCAGGUGGCUUCCAAGGACCCGUGACGCUCCCCACGUUCACCCACUGCCCUCCGUGUGGGAGCGCACUGGGGGUAGAAGUCCUCAGCACAAGCAGAACGGCCACUGUCCUGCAGGGAGACAUUCCCCUCUCUGUUCCAGAAGAGUGUGUGAUGUCACGCCAGCCUCAGGGGAGGGUGCCGGCAGUCUUGCCCGGGCCACCAGCAACAGUGGCUCUCGAGGAAGGACCCGGAAGUUGGCCCGCAAAGCUGGCCCCAACCCACUCUGAUCUGUGGUCCCCUCCAUGGUUGCAGGAAGAGUGGUCUCUUUUGUCUUGGCUUACGAUCGUCCAGUCGGGCUGGACGUGGUGCCACACGCCUGUAACCCCAGCUACCUGGGAGGCUGAGGAAGGAGAAUCACUUGAACCCAGGAGACGGAGGUUGCAGUGAGCCAAGAUCACGCCAUUGCACUGCAGCCUGGGUGACAGAACAAGACUACGUCUCAAAAAAAGAAAAAAGAAAGAAAAAAAAGAAAAUAGUUCUGCUGUGAAAAUGACUGUUUGCAUUACCAAGAAGAGAUUUCAAAGUUAUCUUAAAAUGUUCCUGUUCCCAAGAAGCAGUAUAUAGUAAUAAAGACAUAUAUUCACCAAGAAUAACAUGUCCAGAAAGACAAGUUCUUAAAAACAGAAUGAGUGACAGUGGGCACACCAUGAGACUUAGUCACCUCCAAGAAGGACCUGGGUGUCCUGGGGAGCACAUUGGACUCAUA